GAUGAAGAACGCAGUGAAAUGCGAUACUUGGUGUGAAUUGCAGAAUCCCGUGAACCAUCGAGUCUUUGAACGCAAGUUGCGCCCGAAGCCACUAGGCCGAGGGCACGCCUGCCUGGGCGUCACACGUCGUUGCCCCCCCAUCUACUCCUUCGGGAUUGCGGGGGGGCGGAUGAUGGCCUCCCGUGCGCCUAGCCGCGCGGUUGGCAUAAAUACCAAGUCCUCGGCGACGCACGCCACGACAAUCGGUGGUUGCGAAACCUCGGUUGCCCGUCGUGUGCGUUCGUCGCGCAUCGAGGGCUCGAAAAAAUGCUCGGCUCCGGCUGGGCUUUCAACGCGACCCCAGGUCAGGCGGGGUUACCCGCUGAAUUUAAGCAUAUCAAUAAGCGGAGGA
rnacentral:misc_RNA from 1 species